UGGUUUUUUUUUUUUUCUUUUUUUUCCUUGUUUUUGGGUGCGCCUUAUAGAAUUUGUUAUCAGAAAGAUCAUUUCAUUGAUGAGCAGAAGGAUACAGAGCAUCAGCAGCUAACAGGGAGGAUAACUGGGUUGGUUGGAGGGUGGAAUAGCAGGAUGGGUUUGGUAUUGGCAGUCUAGGGAUGAGAAAUGCGAAUCAUGUACAUCAAAAAGAUGUAAAAGCUAAUUGU
rnacentral:misc_RNA from 1 species